rnacentral:tRNA from 1 species
UUCCCUGUGGCUCAGUUGGUAGAGCAUGGUGUUUGCAAUGCCAGCAUGGUGUGUGCAACGCCAGGGUUGUGGGUUUGAUUCCCACGGGGGACC